rnacentral:tRNA from 1 species
GGUGGCUCAGUGGGUAAAGCGUAUACUUUAUAAGUGUGAGGACCUGAGUUCAGAUCUCAGUACCU